ACAGAGGACACUAGCGACAAAGUUCAGUUUGUCAACAUUUAGCUGUAACGUUAGAACAAGGGUCGCAAAAACUUGAAGGAAGUUUACUGAGCCAAAGAAAGGGUUGCUGUACAUCAAUGCGAGUGGCUGGAAGCACAUCUCUAACCCUGGUGAUGAGAACAAGCCUGUGCCUGUGUGUGGAGGGAAACUGGAGACAGACACUCAUGAAGGAGGAGACUUUUCUUAGAGGAAGUGAACAUAAUUGUACACUCGCAAAGCCGACUAAAAAUGAGGGCUGAGGGGCUUACGCUGCAAACUUCCCUUGCUUGGCUAAUCAUUUGGACCGUUCUCCAAGAUGGCGACGGGGAUUCCCCCAAGGCGAGGAUGACAACAGUGAGGUGGAUGUGGCGUUCAGCCCUGCAGUGCCGCAGCAGGCUCAGAAGGACAAGAGGGAGAAGGACCAGGUCCACCUGUUAGCCCUGAGCUUCACCCAGCAGCAGCAUGGCCUGCUUCUGGCCCAGCAGUACAACAUCUGCAGCACCUCCCAGACCCCAGCUUCCCUGCUCCAGCAGAUCUCCUUCUGCGUGAAGGGCAGACCGAGGACAGUAAUCCUGUGCAGCUCAUCACAUCUGUCCAGCUAACAUCUGGGCCAAGGGACCAAAGCAACAAGACCAAGAACCUGAUCCAGGUGAUCUCCAGCUCAGUGACAGCCCAGCCUCAGCGGCCACAGCACCAGCUCACUGUCAACUCUAACCCCAGGGACCUCUCUCAGAGCCUGGAGCUGACUGUGGAGAUACCAAAUGUUCAGUCCAUCACAGAGUGCCAUCUCAGCAUUUCCUAGGUCAGGGACCACUCUGCUUCCCCUUUCCCCUGUGCUAUGAAUAAGGCCCUGUGACAGAUUAACAAAAAUUAUGUUGGUCUUGCUUAAACGCUUCCUAUGUUGACAUAAUAGCCUAUGUUACAUUAUAAGUUACCCUUUCUGUGGUCUUGUUGGUCUAAAUGUCUGUGUGUAUUUCUCUAUAAUAUGAUAUACUACUAGAAGUGGAGGAUAUGUACCAUCUACACCUGGAGCUGCCAGAGACUGAAUGAGGAUUCGGCCUCUGCCACGUUCAACAACAAACGGACAUUAACUUUGCAAGUGUCUAUACUCUAGUGCCGUUACUGCAGACACUAAAAGCACACACGUUAACUCAUAGACAACAAAAAAAAGCACUGUCUGCUCUGGCAUGUCACACUAACACCCAGUAGGUGAUUUGUCUCCGAAGGGACUCGGACUUUGGAAAUAUAAGAAGGCCAUUAGAGAAGGCAGUAACAGUUACCUCAAAGCAAAUGGCCCAAAAUACAUGUCAUUUCUGCUAUGCAUCCUACAAGCUGUGGGUCUGAACCUUUGUAGUAGUAAACAGUACCUCAGUAAAGACAUUCAGAGCAACAUUAAUGACUCAAGUGGAGUUAUAGUCCUCCAUGAUCAUGAGUUACAUGAACUGCAUGUCUAGGAAAUAAUUCACAAAUAGUCAAUAUAUUCAUGCAGUAAUCCAUGUUUAUUAAAACUUAAAAAUUGUAUUCAUUCA